UACGUAGGGACCAAGCGUUGUUCGGAUUUACUGGGCGUAAAGGGCGCGUAGGCGGCGUGGUAAGUCACUUGUGAAGUCUCUGAGCUUAACUCAGAACGGCCAAGUGAUACUGCUGUGCUAGAGUGCAGAAGGGGCAAUCGGAAUUCUUGGUGUAGCGGUGAAAUGCGUAGAUAUCAAGAGGAACACCUGAGGUGAAGACGGGUUGCUGGGCUGACACUGACGCUGAGGCGCGAAAGCCAGGGGAGCAAACGGG
rnacentral:rRNA from 1 species